GAUGAACGCUGGCGGCGUGCCUAAUACAUGCAAGUCGAGCGAAUGGACGAGAAGCUUGCUUUUCUGAUGUUAGCGGCGGACGGGUGAGUAACACGUGGAUAACCUACCUAUAAGACUGGGAUAACUUCGGGAAACCGGAGCUAAUACCGGAUAAUAUUUUGAACCGCAUGGUUCAAAAGUGAAAGACGGUCUUGCUGUCACUUAUAGAUGGAUCCGCGCUGCAUUAGCUAGUUGGUAAGGUAACGGCUUACCAAGGCAACGAUGCAUAGCCGACCUGAGAGGGUGAUCGGCCACACUGGAACUGAGACACGGUCCAGACUCCUACGGGAGGCAGCAGUAGGGAAUCUUCCGCAAUGGGCGAAGGCCUGACGGAGCAACGCCGCGUGAGUGAUGAAGGUCUUCGGAUCGUAAAACUCUGUUAUUAGGGAAGAACAUAUGUGUAAGUAACUGUGCACAUCUUGACGGUACCUAAUCAGAAAGCCACGGCUAACUACGUG
rnacentral:rRNA from 1 species